CUUUGUAAUUACUAGUUUAUGCAGAGGGUAGAUUCCAUCAUAAAACAAAUCUACACACACAUUCGCUUUAUUAACUAGAAUAAAAAAUGUAUUUAUGCAGAGCUGGAACACAGUGAGAGCACAGAUGAUGAGCUAACGCUGCUCUGUGUUUGAAAUGAAAGCCUUUACAAAACAUUUACAGCAUAAUUCACAUAAUUAUCUGGGAACUUCUUACAAGUCAUGGCCAGUUUUGAUGGAGACACGCCCUGCAGGAUUAAGACACCAUUGUUCAUAGUUUCUCUGUGUGUGUGUGUGUGUGUCUGUGUGUGUGUGUGUGUGUCUGUGUGUGUGUGUGUGUGUGAUAUACUCACGCUGCAUGCUGAGUAAGUGCUGACUGGAGUGGACGGCCAUGCUGGGCUGAUAUGUAGCUGAGUUCAUCCAAAACCAGUCUGAUGGGGUUUAAUUCUGGAGACUGUGCUGCCGUCCUAUGAUUGGAUUCCAGUCACUGUGGCACGCGCCAUGGCGUUGGAUAGUUUAGGCCUCUCCAGUAGAGCGGGCAUGAUGGGGGGUAUCGGCCGGGCCAGCUGAGGGGAGACAUCCCGAAGAGACACAUUCCUAAUAGUUUCUCUGUGUCGGCUGAUGCUGAGAGGAAAUUUAAUUACCCACAUGCAAUCCCAGAAUGACUACAAGACAAUUACAUGAAUUACAACCACAGACAGGUUGUACAGUGGGCAUCAGAACUGGACAUCAGACCAAUGGAAAAGGUUACUGGUUCGAGCAAUCCUGUUUUCUCUGAGAUCAGGUGGAUGGCUGGGCAGGUGAACAUUAUUUACCUGUGAAAUACUGUAGAUGGACCAGGAUACUCUGUAGGACGAUCCACCUCACAACCUACAGAAGUUGAAGGACCUGCUGGUAAAAUUACCUGAUACCAGAUACUACAGGAACCCUUCAGAUGUUGUGGAGGGUCAGAGCUGUUCUGACAGCAUAUCAGGCAGAUUAGCAUCCACAUAGACGGAGAGGAAUGUUGUGACGCUGUUCCGGUAAAGACGCGCCCCCGGUACCAUAAAGGAGUCGAUUCCGCUCAUCUCAUUAACCACUGUUCAGAGUCAUCUGAGUCGAUUCCGCUCAUCUCAUUAACCACUGUUCAGAGUCAUCUGAGUCGAUUCCGCUCAUCUCAUUAACCACUGUUCAGAGUCAUCUGAGUCGAUUCCGCUCAUCUCAUUAACCACUGUUCAGAGUCAUCUGAGUCGAUUCCGCUCAUCUCAUUAACCACUGUUCAGAGUCAUCUGAGUCGAUUCCGCUCAUCUCAUUAACCACUGUUCAGUCAUCUGAGUCGAUUCUGAAACUCGAGUCCACACAGAAAAACUUAUAAUACUGUAAACAUUUACAUUUUAUAAUACAAAAUGUUAUUCUCACUGUUAUAAAUCACCUAAAUUAAAACAGACGGUUAAACGGUUUUACACCCGGAUAAAUCCUCGAGAGCAGAAGUAUUUUGGAGCUUUGGAAUGCUGAAAAAUGGAAUUGAGGUGAUAAAAAGACUUUUUAUUUCAGAAUGAAAAUCUAUCUUUUCUACUCAUCAAAACAGAGUCGGUACUUUAGAAUAAAACUGUCGUGUUAAAUCAGUUUAAAGGUUAUACAGUUAAUUUACUGAUGUGUGUCAUUAAACACCAAAUUCAGUUUAUCAUCUUUGGUUUAAACCUGGACUGACUGUAAGAACAAGAAUAAACUGCUCCUCUAAUGUAAUUAUUCUUGUGUAUUUUGGUCAAUAAUCAGUUCCCUUCAGAUGUUAGUGGUCAGUAAUGAUCUUAAUACUGUAGUUUUUCUUAAAACCUAAAAACUCCUGGACAUUGAGAAAUGUGCUGAAGAUCAGAUCAAUAUGAAGUUAAUCAGAAUUGUUCUGUACUUAAACUAAUUAAAUA